UGCCAGCCGCCGCGGUAAUACAGAGGCCUCAAGCAUUAUCCGGAUUCACUGGGCGUAAAGGGUGCGUAGGCGGUGUUAUUAGUCGGGUGUUAAAUCCCGGGGCUCAACCUCAGAAUCGCAUCCGAAACGGUAACACUAGAAGUAGUCAGAGGUUAGCAGAACUCUCGGUGUAGGGGUGAAAUCCGUUGAUAUCGAGGGGAAUACCAAAUGCGAAGGCAGCUAACUGGGGCUUACUUGACGCUGAGGCACGAAAGCAUGGGUAGCGAACGGGAUUAGAUA
rnacentral:rRNA from 1 species